rnacentral:rRNA from 1 species
GGGAACGUCGGUGGAGGAGGUAGUGUAAGGCGGAGGGGGCGAGCGGUGUGCGGAUGUAUCUGGCGGAAAGAGCGUGUAGGGGGUUAUACAGGUCCGCUGUGAAAACUGGAGGCUUAACCGCCAGACGUCGGUGGAAACCGUAUGACUAGAGGCCGGAAGAGGAGAGUGGAAUUCCUGGUGUAGCGGUGAAAUGCGCAGAUAUCAGGAAGAACACCCGUGGCGAAGGCGGCUCUCUGGGACGGUACUGACGCUGAGACGCGAAAGCGUGGGGAGCGAACAGGAUUAGAUACCCCGGUAGUC